UUUAAAAAAAUGGAAACUAUAAAAUCGAAGUAAUCAAAACAAACAAAAAACUAGUGAAGCCACUGUGGUACUUCGAACACAGCAUAGCAGCUACGAAAAAUUAAAGACACCAACUGCAAUAACUAAAUAUUAAAAAUAGUAGUCAACAGACUUUUUUAAACUGUCGUACUAUAAUGGAGCAUCUGGACCUUGCGGGAUAUCAUGUCAACUCAUCACAAAAUUGGAACAGACUAGGCGCAUUUGAGCAGAAUGAUGCAGUCUGCUUGUCCAGCUCCCAGCGAGUGUUAGAGCCCAUCAUGGAGGAGACCAGCGAGGACGAGGAAAGUGACCGGCGUAGCCAAGAGCACAGAUCGACCAUCUUGAGCUCCAUAGAGUCCGAAAUUUCCUCAGUUAUACGUUUAGAAGAGAUUAGGAAUCAGAUAAUGGAUAUUAAUCCUAAAAAAGGCAAUCUUACUGGUUUUUCCGACGCAGAUAUCGAUACCAUGUCUGAUCGGGAAUUUUUUUGCCCACCCAAGCGACCGAGGCACUGCCUGGAGUCGGAUCCUAGUCAGAGUCUUCAGGACAGCGUCCAACUGCGCCGGCUUCUCGAUCCAGAACGCAAUAGCAGCGUUGAGUGCGAUCUGGUCACAGAAGCAGUUGUUCGAAACACCUCCGGAAGCCAGGGACAGCAGAGCAGCUCAGGCAGUCGGCGAGGCUGCACAUUUAAGGACUUUUAUUCCGAAAAUUACUCCUACCACUCGCUAUCGCGGAGCUCCUCCCUGAUGCAGUUCGAGUCUCUGGAACGGCAAUUUACGCUCCAGGAGCAACACCACAGUAUGAACAGUCUGGGCAACAGCUCACCGUCGCUUACCUACGAGGUGGGUGCCGAAACUUGGACCACUAACAGCAAUCCGGAAAGCCGAAAGGGAUCGGCCUCUUCGCUGUCCCUGAUGAAGCGGUUCGAGCCUAGCGACUAUAGUCGCCUUCAUCAAACAUACUACGAGCUGAACAAACUUAACCUUGAGACCCAGCAGCCGCACGACUUGUUCUCAAAGGACCUGUACCAGGCGGACUUGAAACCUAACUUCGAGAACAGUUCCAGUUUCAGCUCUUGCAGCGAUAGCAGAAGUCCCUGCCUUAGCUCGUGUCUCGUCAGUGUAGGUGCGCCGACAACUAAGUCCGGAACUGGAGUACAGUACAUCGCUGCCGCCCUCUCGAAAGACUCUAGCUACUGCGACCCCAGGACGCAGCACGAAAAAUCGAAAUCCAUGUCAAAGAAUUUUGACAAGCUCUGCGAAGAUGAAAAGCUGCUCCUGCUGGAGGAGGCCACACCGCAUUCCCACAUGAACAUCAUCAUACAUGAUUUGUGCCAGCCCAAAAUAGAGCAAACUGUGAACACAGUCGCAACACAGUGCUCUCCGUCGUCGUCUAUUAAUAGUUCACCGGUGGGGGACGGCUCUCAAUCGGAAUCUUCUUUGCCGCUGUCACCGCCGCCCAGAUGGGCAUCGACGUCGUCGUCCGCCUCGUUCACUUGGCUUCGCAACAGUUUGCCCGACAUCUGCGAGUCGCGAGGUCUACUCUCAGUCGGAAUCAUCAACACGAAAUCUAAAAACGAGGCAAACGGCUACGAUCUGGCCGCCCCCAGCAUCAGCAGCCGCCAUCACACCCGGAGCAGCAGUUCCAUUAACAGCUGCGGCGGCAAACCGCUCCUAGGCGCCUGUCACUCUGUCAAUGAACUGCUGAAGCUUGGACAGCCGCGGAGUCUGUGUCAUACUCUAAGUAGCCAACGCAACUGUCACAGCAAUAACAGCGCAAGUAGCUCCUGUGAGGAGCUGCACUUUGAGCGGGAGACGAGGCGUAAAGACUUAUUUCUUGACUGCAACAACCUUUCGAAAAUCCUUAACGAUCGCGCUUGGAGAGCAGUGGGUGCGGCAAGUGCAGGAUAUUUAAACGCCAGUAACCAGAAUCUCACGCUUCUGUCCUAUAAGGAUAAGCUGCCAUCAGUAGAGCGUCUUCAGAAUAAACACAAGAGAAGCCAACCAGAAGAGAUGUCGGAGAGAAACAGCGUUGAUGGACGAUACUAUAAGCAAGUGAAUUGCAGGAGAAACUUUUUGUUGGAUGAGAUCAGCAAAUUAUACGACAAAAAUGUGUCUAUACUGACAGAUAAGCGAGUCUUAGAUGACCAAUUCCCUUCGCCAGAUUACUGCCAUUUAAAUACACCCGAGGAGUUCUCACAAGUGCACCACGUACAACUGACCAUUAAGCCGCCACCGCGCCAAAAGUGCCCCCUCCAGAUGGCAGUAAACCUGUCCAUUAAUAACGAUGUCAAAACAUUCGACGAGGACCCUACUAAUUUGUGCACAUCGUACGCCAAAAGCCUAGAGCAGUGCCACUUCGACGUGCAAUGGGAGGCCAAGACGGACAUAUUGCAAAGGCCCCUAGCCACGCGCCGUUUCCAGACCCAUUUGCAGAAGUUGGUGGACAAAGAGGGCAUACUGGUCAGCAGCACCCCAAAUCUCUCGGCCUGUGACGGCCGACAUCAAGCAGAGGACAUCUAUGAGAGCAGUACUCACACUUCGAUGCACCAAUCAAAGCCGCUGAGUAUUCUGCUGGCAGCACGAUUGCGUAACUCCUUCGGAAAGGGGGUAAGCUUCUGCCCAGUGGUAAGCAAAUACUCGUGGCAGGAGCAGUCCGCCGUGGAGCCCCCCGAGGACCACUUCAGUGAAGGCGAGCUAGGCCCGCCGAUCGACGAGAAAUUGCUGAACAAUGCGGAUAAAACUGUAGUGCACAACUCCAAAGAUAACGAGAGUGUCGCCGCGCUCUUUGAACAAGAAAAGACGCAAUUUUUAAGGGAGCAGGCAAUCGCUCAAGGGCCCCUUUCAUCCGCGUCCGCACACGCAAUGAACAAUAAUUCUUCAUUCAAAGAGACCGUUAGCAGCGAAUGUGAAACAAAAAUCCAAGCACUCGAUUGCCUUGAUCAAAAGCCCGAAACUUAUACCGCUCCGGAACGCGAGAUCGUUUUAGGCAGCCCAGUCAGACUUGGCGUCGUCGUGAACCUAUCGAUUAACUCAGAACCCCCCAACGUUUCCACAUCUACUGCGAAUGCAGGACUUCUCAGCCUGCCAAUUCUAAGCAAGCCUCCGACCAACCGCGCCCAUCACAUCUUGUACGCCUCCCAGCCCUUGCUGCAGCGUUACGAGCAGGAGAAUCGGCAGAAUCACAACAUGCCGCUGGACAGCGCACUCACUACUGUCGGCAGAGCAGAAGACAAAUACUCCGGCGCCAGAGGUUUAUUCUCCAGGCUCACCACCGGACUGCGCUCCUCGCUGCGUCGCAAAAAAGAGGGGCAGCGGGACAUGAAGGCCGGUCCCAAACAGCCCUUAGUGAUCAAAGCGUCGCCUAAAAAAGAUUCACGGCAAAGCACGGACAAAGGCGGAUUGGACCUCUUUGUGCACAAUCAUCUGAAGCCACCGAUAAUACUGAUGGAUGCAAUCCAACUAAACGAAAGCCAGAUCGAUUCCGUGGCGAGCACUGCCAACAUGCACAGCCGCCAGCUGGCCCGGACCUCUACCCCGAAAAAGGUGACCGGCAGGCCGCCGCUGCCCAAGCUGCCACCCCGCAGUGGCAUUCUGGCGCAUACGCCUCCGGAAGCUGUUGGCAGCACCGACAGUGUUGCCCAUAGCACAGGGGCCUUGAUGACCGCCGAACGCGAACAGCAAAAACAGUUUACCGACCAGUUAACAGCGGGCAUACAAAUGACGAGGGUGCAGGACAUCGAGCCAUGGGAAAACAUCACCCAGAAACAACUUGGAGGAAGCUUAAAAACGUCCAGACCCACUGUGGUCACCGCCGUAACUGUGGCUGUUCCUCCUGUGGAUGCCGUAGGCAAGAUGGGCCUGAUCGAGACCAAUCUGGACACUCAUGAGACGGUAAUUUCGGGAAGGACUCGUUCCCUUAUGGACAUAAGUUUUCAUCCACAUAGUCUGCCGCACAAGCGAUACAUCGUGAAGCAACUGAAUGUGUAUAGUACCUAUGACAUGGAUAAAAUGGAUGGGCAGACAAUCAAGUCCUCGACAGGUAGUCGUAGCGUCGAAGUCACAUCUUUUCGCAGGCCGCACAAGAGCAUGGAGUUUCUGCUGGACAAGGAAAACCAGAAAAAUGUUUUGCCCCCCGAGAACGAACUGCAGAAGUCGCAUGACCACAGUACGGCCGCCUUGAGCGAACACCAACUGCGCGUCCAGGCAUCGCUUCAGCGGCUCAAUAUACCAGAUUGGUACCGUGAUUACAAUAAACAGAUCCGAAAGUUACCAGAUGUCGGCAAUGCCGCCACAAACUCAAUUUCCGGUGGACUUCAGCUUGGCAACUUUACCCGCAAAGGCACACAGGAGUCAGGACGUUGGCUGGGGCUCAACUCAAAGACUACCUCUCUCAGCUCGCUGGGAUCGGAUCGAAGUCCCCUCCUGAUGAGUCCCUCGGCAAAUAGUCAUCACGGCGGCCAUAACACCUAUCCUUGCGUCCCGAUCGCGGGUCACGGCUCAGCUACUGGACAGACGGGCGUGAGUGCCACGCGCUGGUCCACCUCGCACCUCAGCUCCACUCAGACGUCACCAAGUGUCUCGCAGCGCGGAAACUUUGCACGUGGAGCCUAUAUUAAUAGUAGCUUCAUGUCCGUGGCUAUCGCAAACGGCGGAUUGCGUAAUUCAUACCGGCAGCCGUACCUGGGGUGGCGCAGUACCGAGAAACUAUCCCAUUGGACGCCCCAUGAACGUCUGGCCAACUCGCUGCUGACCCAUCGGACAAAGCCAUCACCCAUUUAUGCACUCAAUGAAAACAGAAUCGUUCAUUCUGUAACACCAGAGAUUCAAAGCUCAAUUAAGGAAGUCACAUCCGCAAUCGUUCAUUACGUAGACCACCAGCAUCAGAUCCAACAUUCGCGCAGCCGCUCAGCCAGUCCGAAUUUGAGGGUCUUCCCACAGAGAUCCAUCCACCAUCUACCAUCCGUUGAACGGAUGGUCCCCAUCCAGAUUUGACGGACUAUUUUAUGCGAUAGUUAGGCGAUAAUUUUAGGUGAAAACCCUAAACUCUUCUUCUUGAAAGUGGAAAGUGGAACAUUCACUACGAAAACGUAAACAAUAAUGACGGGAAACUUUUGAAAAAGGAAGGCGACAAAGCAAUAGUCAAUAAUACGCGAACUGCCGGUGGCAAACUGAGGUGGACUAAGCAGAUGGAGGUCCUGCUCAUCGAUAUUUGGCAGGAGAGCAUCGAGGAGUUGCGGGGAGCCCGAAAGACCAAGACAGGCAGGAAAAAAAUAAAAUGGGGCCAAGCGGUGGCGCUCCUUCCGCGUGGCAGUAUUAUUAGUUGGUCCACUCGUUUCUAGGCGCAUACCGCAUCCACAACAUGGAGCAGAACCCCUUGGAGAACGAGAAUACUAGGGAAUAGUUUGUGGAGCUCUUGGAUGCAGACCCAGAUGACAGGGAAGCCUCUACCUGCAGCGGCAGUCAACGCUCAGGCGGCAAAGGUGGACCACAAGUCGGAGCUUGUGGAGAUAGAUCGAGAAAGACUGGAGGAGCAGAGAGCGCAGACAGAAAUAUUGUCGAGAAUGGCAGACAGCCAAGUAAAAUUCCAAUCGGAUUUGUUAGAGCUUUUAAGAAAAUCAACGAAUUCCUAAUAAAUUUAUAAUUUAUAAUAAAUAGACCAAA